CCUACGGGAGGCAGCAGUGAGGAAUAUUGGUCAAGGGGCGCGAGCCUGAACCAGCCAAGUAGCGUGAAGGAUGACUGCCCUACGGGGUGUAAACUUCUUUUAUAAAGGAAUAAAGUGAGGCACGUGUGCCUUUUUGUAUGUACUUUAUGAAUAAGGAUCGGCUACCUCCGUGCCAGCAGCCGCGGUAAUACGGAGGAGCCGAGCGUUAUCCGGAUUUAUUGGGUUUCAAGGGAGCGUAGAUGGGUUGGUAAGUCAGUGGUGACAGUUUGCGGCUCCACCGUUCAAUUGCCAUUGAUACUUGCAUUCUUGAGUACAGUUGCGGUCGGCGGACUUCGUGGUGUAUCGGU
rnacentral:rRNA from 1 species